GUUAAAUCUCGUCUGUACUAGCCAAAUUUCACAAAUUUAAAGUUGUUUAUGUAAAAAACAUAUCAUGAAUGAUGGUUAAAUACGUUUUUCGGGUUAUCAGUUAGAUCACAUGGUUCUAUUAUUACAAUAGGAAAACACCCGAGACGUUAAACCGCAUGGGUCUAUUAUCAUAGGGAAACACCCGAGACGUCCCAAAAAUAUAUAGGUGCUCCUAUAAUUGGAGGAACUUUACACAGUUGUGUACACACACAUUGCGGCACGGAACACGAUCGGAAAUCCAUUUGACGAUUUCUAAGCGUUUCGAAACGAAGUGAAAAAUAUCGUUCGCCACGUGGGCGCUUACAUUUGUCACUGUAUGCGCCAUUUCUUGUCAAUAUGCGCUAUAGGCGCAGGGCGCACGACUUUCCCGAUCACUGCAA
rnacentral:lncRNA from 1 species